GACUUUGCAAGAGUCGCCCACGUGCAAACACGUUUCCUUUGGAGCAUUAAAGAUGGCUGGUCUUCUACGAGUGAGAGGAGCUUCUCAAGUGGUUCAAGUGUGCAGAGAAGGAGAGAAGGUCCUUCGUGGAGCCUCCAUGAAGGAUAUAGCAGUGAUACAGGGAGAGAAUGGAAGAGGAGUUGGGCUGGUUGUGGACGGGAACGGACUGAUUGCAGAUUUGGGUUUUGAUGAUGUUUUGGAUGCUAAAUACUCUGACUGGUCAUUCAAAGAGACAGUCUUGGCUAAUGGAUCCUCUGUGUUGCCUGGUUUUGUGGACGCCCACACGCACCCAGUGUGGGUUGGGGACAGAGUGAAUGAAUUUGCUAUGAAAUUAGCUGGUGCCACAUACAUGGAUAUACAUAAAUCAGGUGGUGGAAUCAACUUCACUGUACAGUGCGUACGUAGUGCUACACACAAGGAACUCUAUGACCCGUUAGUCCAAAGACUCUGGUCAAUGAUGAGAUGUGGUACGACUACAGUUGAAGCUAAAUCAGGCUAUGGGCUGGAGACCGAGUCUGAAGUGAAGAUGCUUGAAGUUCUAAAUAAUGCCCGUCAAGAGCAUCCAAUGGAUCUUUCUAUAACUUACUGUGGAGCACAUGCAGUACCUAGAGGAUUAUCUUCUGACGAAGCAACACUAUCCAUUAUUGAGGAACAGAUCCCGACUAUCAGUGACCUUUCAUCAAAAGGUCAAAUCCACGUUGACAACAUUGACGUAUUUUGUGAGAAAGGUGUCUUUGAUCUGGAGCAGUCUCGAAGGAUACUAGCAGCCGGAAAGAGAGAGGGAUGGAGGAUAAAUUUCCACGGCGACGAACUUCACCCAAUGGGAUCUGGAGAGUUGGCUGGAGAGUUAGAAGCAGCUGCUGUGAGUCACCUUGAGGAGAUCAGUGAUGCUGGGAUUGCUGCUAUGUCCCAGUGUGGCUCCAUCGGUGUCCUUCUACCCACUACUGCUUACAUGUUACGACUGAGGCAGCCUCCUGCUAGGAAGAUGAUUGAAAAAGGCAUGGCUAUAGCACUUGGUAGUGAUUUCAAUCCCAACGCUUACUGUUAUUCAAUGCCAUUAGUGAUGCAUUUAGCUUGUGUUAAUCUUCGUCUCUCAAUGGAGGAGUCACUGGUUGCUGCUACCAUCAAUGCAGCUGCUGCUCUUGGCCUCUCUGAUGUAUGUGGUUCUAUUGAAGUUGGAAAAAAAGCCGAUUUAGUGAUACUCUCUGCUCCCAAGUGGGAGAAUAUCAUAUACCAGUUUGGUUGUCAUCGGGAUUGCAUUCAACAUGUUAUAAAGGAGGGUAACAUUGUUUACAGCACAAAAGAAGAAGCCAUUGAUGUCUCUUAGCCGUGUCUUAGCUAUGUACACAAUGCACUGGGUGUGAGUGUUUCUUUAGGUAAUUUUCUGAAACCUGUAUAUGCAUGUUGCCUUGAAAUGAAUUGCAACAAACGUGCUGAUUUUACGGUUUGGAAUUUCUCGUUUCUUUAGUGGGCGUUGUGUUGUUAAUUUUUUGUUAGCUCUCUUUUUCCCAUCUCUUGCAAUGUGUUUAAUAUUUUGUGUUUGUAUUCCUUUUAGAAUUACAAAGAUGAAAAUAGCAGAAUAUUUUGUGUUUUUUUAUACUAAUGUUACAGAAACACUAAACAAUUCCUUCGUUAAUGUACAACUUUUUGUUACUUUAACAAAAAGAAAGAUAAUGCACGUGUAUGUACAUGUAUGUACUUAUAGUACAUGUAUUGUAUGUUAAUUCUUUGAACUGACUCACUCAUUUAUGUCAUCACUCACGUUUGCACUCAAUAAAAUAACAAUUUCAAAGUAUUGUGUAUAGUAAAAGUAAA